GACGAACGCUGGCGGCGUGCUUAACACAUGCAAGUCGAACGGUAAGGCCCUUCGGGGUACACGAGUGGCGAACGGGUGAGUAACACGUGGGUGAUCUGCCCUGCACUUCGGGAUAAGCCUGGGAAACUGGGUCUAAUACCAGAUAGGACCACUGCCUGCAUGGGUGGUGGUGGAAAGCUUUUGCGGUGUGGGAUGGGCCCGUGGCCUAUCAGCUUGUUGGUGGGGUGAUGGCCUACCAAGGCGACGACGGGUAGCCGGCCUGAGAGGGUGACCGGCCACACUGGGACUGAGAUACGGCACAGACUCCUACGGGAGGCAGCAGUGGGGAAUAUUGCACAAUGGGCGCAAGCCUGAUGCAGCGACGCCGCGUGAGGGAUGACGGCCUUCGGGUUGUAAACCUCUUUCAGCACCGACGAAGCGCAAGUGACGGUAGGUGCAGAAGAAGGACCGGCCAACUACGUGCCAGCCGCCGCGGUAA
rnacentral:rRNA from 1 species